GAGUUUGAUCCUGGCUCAGAUUGAACGCUGGCGGCAUGCCUUACACAUGCAAGUCGAACGGUAACAGGGAGCUUGCUCCGCUGACGAGUGGCGAACGGGUGAGUAAUAUAUCGGAACGUACCUUUGAGUGGGGGAUAACUAGUCGAAAGAUUAGCUAAUACCGCAUACGAUCUACGGAUGAAAGUGGGGGAUCGCAAGACCUCAUGCUCAUAGAGCGGCCGAUAUCUGAUUAGCUAGUUGGUGAGGUAAAGGCUCACCAAGGCUUCGAUCAGUAGCUGGUCUGAGAGGACGACCAGCCACACUGGGACUGAGACACGGCCCAGACUCCUACGGGAGGCAGCAGUGGGGAAUUUUGGACAAUGGGGGCAACCCUGAUCCAGCAAUGCCGCGUGAGUGAAGAAGGCCUUCGGGUUGUAAAGCUCUUUUGUCAGGGAAGAAACGGGGAUUCCUAAUACGAGUCCCUAAUGACGGUACCUGAAGAAUAAGCACCGGCUAACUACGUGCCAGCAGCCGCGGUAAUACGUAGGGUGCAAGCGUUAAUCGGAAUUACUGGGCGUAAAGCGUGCGCAGGCGGUUAUGUAAGACAGGUGUGAAAUCCCCGGGCUUAACCUGGGAAUGGCAUUUGUGACUGCAUAGCUAGAGUGUGUCAGAGGGGGGUAGAAUUCCACGUGUAGCAGUGAAAUGCGUAGAGAUGUGGAGGAAUACCGAUGGCGAAGGCAGCCCCCUGGGAUAACACUGACGCUCAUGCA
rnacentral:rRNA from 1 species